rnacentral:rRNA from 1 species
GACGAACGCUGGCGGCGUGCUUAACACAUGCAAGUCGAACGGAAAGGCCUUGCUUGUUGGUUCCACGAGUGGUGAAGGGGUGAGUAACACUAGGGUGAACUGCCCCUUACUUUGGGAUAAGCCUGGGAAACUGGGUCUACUACUGGUUAGGACCACGCUGUGGCCGGUGUGUUGGGGAGAUUAGUUUCGGUGAGGGAUGAGCUCGCGGCCUAUCAGCUGGUUGGUGGGGUAAUGGCCUACCAAGGCGUCGACGGGUAGCCGGCCUGUGGGGAUGGACGUCCACCUUAGGACUGUGCGGGGGCCCACAGUCCUGCGGGAGGCAGCAGUGGGGAAUAUUGCACGAUGGGAGGAAGCGUGAUGCAUGGAGGCCGCCUGGGGGAUGACGGCCGUCGGGUUGUAAGAUACUUCCUGCCACGACGAGGCACAUGUGGUGACGGUAGUGGAAGAAGAAGCAACGGCUAACUACGUG